rnacentral:lncRNA from 1 species
AAUCAAAAGCCCAAGUAGAAGUGGAAAAGUUUACCAUAUUAACGUACCAUAUCAAUUUUAUGCUAAAAUUUUGUACCAAUUGGUAAUGAUAUGGUAACUGUACCGUUUUGGGCUAAACGCUUCAUUGAGUAGGAAAAAUUAUUUGAGCUUGGACUAGGUUUAUUUUAAUAAAAAACCAGGCUAUAAUUUUAUUUAAUGAAAAAGACUUAAAUUUUAAUGAAAAACUCUUAAAUUUUAAUAAA